UUAUAUUUGAGAGUUUGAUCCUGGCUCAGGAUGAACGCUGGCGGCGUGCCUAACACAUGCAAGUCGAGCGGAGGCAAUGCUUAACAUUGAGUAUUUAUCUA
rnacentral:rRNA from 1 species